GUUGAACAGACUCAGCAGCCCACGAUUUUCCAGAAGGCUUCUGGCCAGAUCUUGCGUUCCGGUGUUUCCCAGGACAUCCAUGGCUACGCAUCUGGUUUCCAGAGGCGUGCAACGUACGGAAACUACUCCAACGCUGCGUUCCAGUACCCUCUUGCGGCCAGUUCCAGGAUUGUGGCGACUACUUCCCCUGUGUUCGUCCAGGCUCCAGGAGAGAAAGGAUUCUCUAGCUUUGCUAUUGAUUUCUUGAUGGGUGGUGUUUCCGCUGCUGUGUCCAAGACCGCUGCUGCUCCUAUUGAGCGUGUCAAGCUUUUGAUUCAGAAUCAGGAUGAGAUGCUUAAGGCUGGUAGGCUCUCUGAGCCUUAUAAGGGUAUUGGUGACUGUUUCGGCAGGACCAUUAAGGAUGAGGGAUUUGGUUCUUUGUGGAGAGGAAACACUGCUAACGUUAUCCGUUACUUCCCCACUCAG
rnacentral:lncRNA from 1 species